AUAAAGACUAUAAAAGGUAUUCAGCGGAUGCCUUGAUGUUAGAUCAAUAAGGACGUUAGACGUUGCGAAAAGUCAUGGGGAGAAACGUAAAUAAUCUGUGAUCCAUGAAUAUCCUAAGAGGAAACUCGAUCCUAAAGAAUAUAAAUACUUGGUGAACUGAAACAUCUAAGUAACCAAAGGAAAAGAAAUCAAAAGAGAUUCCGUUAGUAGUGGCGAGCGAAUGCGGAAUAGGCCUAAUAUUGUGAACAAAAAUUUAGAAAAGAUUGGAAAAUCUUACCAAAGAAGGUGAUAGUCCUGUAUAAAAAAACUCACAAUUCAUAUUGAGUAAGACGGUACACGUGAAAUUCAGUCUGAACAUAGGGAGACCACUCUCUAAGCCUAAAUAUGAUCUAAUAAUCGAUAGUGCACAAGUACCGUGAGGGAAAGGUGAAAAGAACCCUGAAAAAGGGAGUGAAAAGAACCUGAAACUGAAUACUGACUAGCAGUCGGAGCUUUGUAAUCAAGUGACGGCGUACCUCUUGUAUAAUGGGUCAGCGAGUUAAUAUAUUUAGCAAGCUUAAUCUGAUAAGAAUAGGCAAAGUGAAUACGAGUUUGAAAAAGAGCGUUAAGUUAAAUAUAUUAGACCCGAAACUGAGUGAUCUAUCCAUGAGCAGGUUGAAGAUGGAGUAAUAUUCAUUGGAGGACCGAACCCACGUCUGUUGAAAAAGCCGGGGAUGACUUGUGGAUAGGGGUGAAAGGCUAAUCAAACUCAGAGAUAGCUGGUUUUCCGCGAAAUCUAUUUAGGUAGAGCGUUAGAUGAUACAAUAUUUGGGGUAGAGCACUCAAUGGGCUAGGGGAGCAUAACGUUACUUCAAACCCAAGGAAACUCCGAAUACGAAUAUUGAUUCUCUAGUAGGCAGACUAUGGGUGAUAAGAUCCAUGGUCGAGAGGGAAACAGCCCAGAUCGUCAGCUAAGGUCCUAAAGUAAUUACUAAGUGGGAAAGGAAGUAAAAUAACUAAUACAGCCAGGAGGUGGGCUUGGAAGCAGCCAUCCUUUAAAGAAAGCGUAACAGCUCACUGGUCUAGUUCUUUUGCGCCGAAAAUGUACCGGGGCUUAAGUAAUUCACCGAAGCUACGAAUGAUAUAAAUCGUGGUAGCGGAACGUUCUGUAUGUUGUAGAAGAAAGAAUGUUAGUUCUUUUGGAGAUAUCAGAAGUGAGAAUGCUGACAUGAGUAGCGAUUAACAAUGUUAGAAUCAUUGUCGCCGUAUGUCCAAGGGUUUCUGCGCCAGGUUCAACCACGCAGAGUUAUUCGGCCCCUAAUAUCAAUACGAAAGUAGUAGUAGAUGGGUGAAUUGAUAGUGACGAAUUUUACGAAUAACAAAUGUAUCAUUGGAUUUACAUUUGUUAAACGAAAGUUCCAGGAAAUAGCUUCAAUUUAUAAACCGUACCCGAAACCGACACAGGUGGACUAGUUGAAUAUACUAAGGCGCUUGAGAGAACAAUCUUGAAGGAACUCGGCAAAAUAACUCCGUAACUUAGGGAGAAGGAGUACUCAUACUAGACAUAUGAGUGGCACAAAAAUGGGGGUAGCGACUGUUUAAUAAAAACACAGGACUCUGCAAAAUCGUAUGAUGACGUAUAGGGUCUGACACCUGCCCGGUGCUGGAAGGUUAAAGUGAUUUGUUCACGCAUUGAUCUGAAGCCCCAGUAAACGGCAGCCGUAACCAUAACGGUUCUAAGGUAGCGAAAUUCCUUGUCGGGUAAGUUCCGACCUGCACGAAUGGUGUAACGACUUCCCCACUGUCUCCAAGAUUGACUCAGCGAAAUUGAACUCUCCGUGAAGAUGCGGAGUACCAACGGCUAGACGGAAAGACCCCGUGCACCUUUACUACAUCUUUACAGUGCAAAUAGGAAUUCAAUGUGUAGAAUAGAUGGGAGCUUAUGACACCUUGGCGCUAGCCAAUUGUAGAGGCAACAAUGAAAUACCAUCCUUUGAAUUCUUCAUAGCUAACCAUGAUAUUUAUAAUAAUAUUUGGGACAUUGUAUGGUUGGUAGUUUGACUGGGGCGGUCACCUCCCAAAGAGUAACGGAGGUGCGCUAAGGUAGGCUCAAGUUGGUCGGAAAUCAACUGCAGAGUGUAAUGGCAUAAGCCUGCCUGACUGUAACACCUACAAGUGAAGCAGAGACGUAAGUCGGCCAUAGUGAUCCGGUGGUGCUGUGUGGAAAGACCAUCGCUCAACGGAUAAAAGGUACGCCGGGGAUAACAGGCUGAUGACUCCCAAGAGCCCUUAUCGACGGAGUCGUUUGGCACCUCGAUGUCGACUCAUCACAUCCUGGAGCUGCAGAAGGUUCCAAGGGUUCGGCUGUUCGCCGAUUAAAGUGGUACGCGAGUUGGGUUUAGAACGUCGUGAGACAGUUCGGUCCCUAUCUACCGUUGGUUUAGGAGAAUUGAAAGGAUCCGACCCUAGUACGAGAGGAUCGGGGAGGAUGUACCUAUAGUGUUCCAAUUGUCACGCCAGUGGCAUCGUUGGGUAGCCACGUACAGACAGAAUAACCGCUGAAAGCAUAUAAGCGGGAAAUCUACCUUAAAACAGGUUCUCCAAUUAGAGCCGUGAUAGACUAUCACGUUGAUAGGCUAAAUGUAUACGUGUGGCGACACACUAGCUGAUUAGUACUAAUUACUCUAAUGUCUUUAUAA
rnacentral:rRNA from 1 species